GACGAACCGUGCGAACGUUGUUCGGAAUCACUGGGCUUAAAGGGCGCGUAGGCGGCAGAUCAAGUCCGGGGUGAAAUCCUCCAGCUCAACUGGAGAAGUGCCUUGGAUACUGAUGUGCUCGAGGGAGGUAGGGGUCCGCGGAACUUCUGGUGGAGCGGUGAAAUGCGUUGAUAUCAGAAGGAACGCCGGUGGCGAAAGCGGCGGACUGGAUCUCUUCUGACGCUGAGGCGCGAAAGCUAGGGGAGCAAACGGG
rnacentral:rRNA from 1 species